rnacentral:piRNA from 1 species
CCCGGAGAGUCGAGGGUGUGUGACUGGG